UCAAUCCCAAGUGAGGUCUACAUUCGACAAAAAAUGGCCAAAAGGUUGAAAGAUAAUCUUCACCACUUGAUAGUAAAGAAGAAGGAUGGUGUAUGUUCGACGUGGAUGUCUGUGAGCAUUCACGAGCAGAUGAUGAAUAAUGCUGAAGACGAGGAGUUCAGAGCACAAUCUGAGAAGGCCAGCAAGAACCGGCGAGGAGGUGACUUGACCAGCAACGUACCUCCUUCUCAUUGCCAGGGUCCCAUUUCCUCAGCAGAGCGCGCCAAGAGAUUGGCUGCACAGCGUGAAGGGGUGCUGCCUUCCGCUUUAGACUAGUACAUGGACACACACAUGAGGGAUGAAUCUAGAAAGAAGGUGUCGAUCAAUGACAAAGUCCUGUACAUCAAGGAAAGUUAUGACAAAACUCUUGCUGAAUGUCAAGAAAGAGGGGAAAACAAGGCCUCGAACCAGAUUUUCUUUGAGAUGGUCGGCGGCAGAAAGAAAGGGUGAGUUCAUGGUUUGGGGACGAGUGUAGACCUCUAUUUUGAGAGGUCUUCAAGGGGGGGGGGGAGAUAGUUCGUCCUCCAGUUGCACUCCUUCCAUGUUUUCUCUGUUGUCCGCAAGGUUCGAGGAAGAGAGACUCGAGUUGCAAAGAGAACGUGAGCAGAUACAAAAGGAGAGAGAGAAGAGGAACGACUUGCCACACAAAGGAAAUGAGAGUAGGAGCGCCUUGCAAGGCAAAAAGGAGAGAGAAGAGGAACGCCUCGCCAGGCAAAUAGAGAGAGAGGAGGAGCACAUAAUGCAUGAGGAGUACCUGGCGCAGAUGAAGAAGACUAUGGAGAGUACAGCUAGAUGAUGAGCUAAUGUGGUGGUUCCUUCCCCUUUACCAGGCCUUGAGACCCCCCCACCAGCGAUGGUGAUGCGUUUGCAGCUUAGGCUCCUACAAUUGUUUACAAUAUCUAUCUUGUGUAUUUUCCGGGACGUGAGAACAUAUAAUUUAGUUAAGACUGUUAACCUAUGUUUGUGUAUGUAUGAAUUUAUGUUAACUUAUGUUAGUGUAUGUAUGAAUUUCUAAUUAAUGCAAACAGGUCAUUAGUGCAGAAUUCGACGCAUUAGCGGACGGCUUGAGUAUAUUUUGUUGGAAAAUAAAACAGGUUAAAAAAUAUUCAAAUUCUACAACUCAGGUUUAUUUUCCAAAAAAAUAAAAUAAAAAAAUUAGUGUCCGCCGCAGUGCAAUUAGCGUCCGCUCUAAGCAAAAAAGGAAGAAAAUUAAUUACAAAAAA